UCCAAGCCCACUGCGAGACUGGCUUUGCUGCCAAAAGCACACUUGAUCAAAUCCCUGCACUCCAGGGGCUUAUUCAGGUUCAGCCACAGACUGAUAGCUGACCAACCCCUGGAGAACUGAGAAAUACACAUUUGGAAGACACUUGGAGUCUGUGUUGAGAAAGCAGACAGAAAGGUUGCCGGGCAAUUGGGAAACAAGCCGAUAGGAGCCCUGUGGAUUGAAGACUGAGGUGCACUUGGAGAUCUUCAUUUCCUGGGAUGCAUCAGUGUUAUGUGGAGCUUAAUUAUGGCUAACCCUGGGAGAAAAUAGUCUGAAGGUUUUCCUUCAAGAGAGACUAACUCAGCAUGAAGCCCUGCCCUUCAGAGUCUCCCAUCUUCUACCAUUAGAAAGUGGGGAUUCUCCAUGAGCAAAAGCUUCCUGAAGAUACACAAGGGAUGUAGACACAUCACCCCAAGGGCCAGUCCAUUUACAGAAGGAAAGAACUGUGUGAGGCUGAGAUGCCCAGUAUCUUUCAAACAUGCAGGUUAGACAAAUGAUUCUCUUGCAGAGACCGACCAUAUGGAUUGAUUUAGCAGCAUUUCACCGGCUACCUAGAGACAUAACUUGAGUCAUCAUGUAUAAAUUACUGAACUCUCCACCGCAAAAAGGAAAAAACUGUUUUCUUGCACAGCAGUAGCAAUUAAUGUGCAAUGUGUUUAUGGAGCUUAAUAAUACAUGGCCCAGCACCCAUUUCUGUAUGCAAUACCAUUAUCUCGAGAGAGAGAGAGAGAGAGAGACUGAGCUGGUGUCAUCAGCAUACAAGACGUGGAUGAUGGAUUCAUCGAUGACUGAGCCUGGCCUUAUUACAGCAAACAAAUUAGACACCGUGGAAUCUAUUGCCAUAUAGACAGGACUUUCUUCUCUUCAAAUAUAUGUCAUAAUUAAUAGCGGUAACCUUUUGGUAACACUGAAAAACAACUUGCAAUUAACGGCCCCUCUCUUCCUUUAGGGCCUACACACAUAAGUGGUUGUUCAAGGCUUGGCCCAGCUCAGUGGAGUGGAGCAAGUUCUAGAUACCCUCUAAAACUGAGAAAGUGGAAAGUGGCGGCCAGUAAGGUCAAUCACUUCUUUACCUUUCUCAUAUUUCAUGCCAGAGUAAGGCAGAAAGGAAAGUCGUGAGUCGCCUACAACUAAUUUUCCAGCCACUUCUCUCUGCCAGGCAUUGUUCUAGGCACUGGGGACAGAGCAAAGAACAAGACAAAAGGACACUGCCCCCCCCCCAUCUCUGUGAGUAGGGAAUGACAUCAGACAUGUAAACAAAUAAAUACUUUUAAAAUUCUGAUAUGUAGCACGCUGAAGAUAAGAUAGGGCACUUUUGAAUCUCUAUAUUUUUAAAUGACAAAUAGGGAUUUUAACAAAAGGAGAUAUUUUAUGGAUUCAGCACCCACGUAAUUAAAUAAUCACCAAUAUAAUUCCCAAGAUUCCAUGACUUCUUUAUUUCUUCUUCCCUGAAUUUUAAAAAUAUAAUGUCAGUUCUGAAGAGAAACAGGUAGUGCUUGUGAUUUAAUAAUUUUAAAAGACUUAACUCUUUUAAAAUAAUUACUGUGGAGUUCACAACAGCCCAGGUUAACCAAAAUAAAAUGGAUUGUCAAAUACCAAAAAGAAAUAGGUAUUAUUUUAUAUUUUAAAAAUACUAGCUCCAGUAUGGGGGGGGGCGGUGCUAGGACACAUCAGAAUCCCAGGAAUACUAUCUCCUAUAUGGAUAUACAUGAUAUUGCAUAUCCAUACAUGAUAUUGUAUACUAUAGUAUACUAUAUCCAUACAGGUUGAACCACUCACAGAAUGUAAGACCUACACAACAUUUUGUUUCCCUAAAAUAUUUCAUCUCUAUGGUCCGUUAUAAUUGAUAUCUAUACAGGCAAGUUGAAGUUCACCUUUAAAGCAAUUGUCCAUUAAAAAAUAGUGAGGCAAAGUCCUUCUCACAUGAAUUCUCUGGAAUCUUCCUUUAGUUUUUCACUCUAAUUUUAAACAUGGCCUUGCCCUAUUUGUACGUGAAGCAAGAGCAUUGUAACCAAACCCUGUGUUUCUUAGUCCCUCUGUGGUAGAAAACUGGGACAGUUGGGUUGGUUAUGAAAUGUGUCUCUGUAACUGGGAAUUAAUCCGCACUGAUUUACUCUUUUCUAUCUCUCAUAACAAUGCCGCUCCAUGAAUCCCAAUGUCCUUUUUGAGUCACAGGAGAGGAGAGUUAUGCAUUGGCAAUGGCUAAUAACCCUGGGCACGUUCGUGAAACUCAUGGCAAUGUACUCUGCAAAUCACCUUCAUCUCAAAUGUAUGUUACAGGCAGGUAAAAGUCAUGAAUUACUACACUAAGUAAAUACUAAUUCAAAGGAGUACAUGAUGACACCCAUGGUACUUUAGUAAAACCAAGUAGUUUUACUUUCUACCUCUUACUUCUUUGCAGAGGGAGAUGGUUCCACAGGCCUGUUCACCCUCAGAUCCCUUCAUCGCCCUCCCCUGUGGAGGCUGCCCACCACCGGAUGCCUCACUAGGCUGACUGCCAACUGUAUGCAGUCAGUGAGAGCAGAUGGCCCAAGAAUGUAGACCAGAAGAUAGGGAAAACCCACCACAUUUCUCUCCCUGUCUCUGGUUUGGGCAUCAGAUUUGGCAAUAGAGAGUCAGCUCUUCCCAGCUUGGUUCCAGCUUCGAUCUGGAGGCCCCAACCCUGUCGUUCCGGCAACUCCACCUCCUCUCUGGGGUGGGACCAACUUCCUACUGUUGGCUAUUCUCUGAUUUGCCUCUUUAUUCCCUGUUGAGCUUCUUAGCUCUUCCAUCAUCAAUGCAAUGGGUUCCCUGCAUUAAAAUUCCUCUGUUUUUGAUAAUAAGGAUAGUUUCUGUUUAUUUUGGUUGUAUACUAAUUGACACAGAGAGUUUGCAAGAAAAAUGCAAUUUGGUUCAUAUGGGGUACCUACUGUACACCAAGCAUUGUGCUAUACACCAGGGAGAUCAUGUUGCAUAAAAUACCAGAUCUGCCACUGAGGAGGUCUGAGUCUAGUCAACAGGCCAUUUCACAAUUAUCUGGCCAGCAUUAUGACAGGGCCAGACUAGAGGACUUUGGAAACUGUGAGAAUGGGUUCUUAGCUGGAUCUGGGCUUCAGGGAAUGCUUCCUAGAGUUGGUUGAGCUGAACCUUGAAGGAUGAAAGUUAGCCAGGUGAACAGAUGCUGGAAGGCUCUUUCAGGCAGAGGGAGUAGCAUAAGUAAUUGCACCAAAGCAUUAAAUUGAAUGGGGUUGGUGUCAGAAUAGAGCAGAUGGAGCAGCUAUGGAAUGGAAGCAGAACAGUAUCAUUAGACCUCAGGGUAUGAGGCCAGAGAACACGAAAGGAGGUCAGAGAUGUAAGGCAGGUUAAAAAGCUUCAAUUCUCUUCAAUGCACAAUUAGGAGUAAUUGAUGAUUUUUAAAUCAGUGCAACCACAUGGUCACAUUUACAACCUGUAAUUUAAAGGAACCACUCAGGUCAGACUAAUAAAUAGUAACUCCAAAAGAGACAAAAUAGAGGAAAGAAACAAACAAAAGAAUUACUUGAGCCAGAUUAUGCUAAUAAUUCAAUUCACCCUACCAGCAUUGAGUGCUUGGGUACC